ACUCAAAUGAAUUGACGGGGAGGCGCACAAGCAGUGGAGCAUGUGGUUUAAUUCGAAACAAAGCGAAAAACCUCACCAGGGUUUGACAUGUACUUGCUAAGCCUAUGAAAGUAGGCCUCCUUCGAGGGUAGUACACAGAUGCUGCAUGGCUGUCGUCAGCUCGUGGCGUGAGCUGUACCGUUAAGUCGGAAAACGAGCGCAACCCGCACCGUAUGUUAAAUAAUUCAUGCGGAACUGCCCCGCCUUUGGCGGGGAGGAAGGCGCGGAUGACGUCAAGUCAGCACGGCUCUUACACCCUGGGCUACACACAUCCUACAAUGGACAGUAACAACGAGUUGCAAACGGGUAACCGUAAGCUAACCUCUUAAACCUGUCCUCAGUUCAGAUCGAGGUCUGCAACUUGACCUCGUGAAGUCGGAAUUGCUAGUAAUCGCGAAUCAGCAGGUCGCGGUGAAUACGUUCUCGCCUCUUGUACACACCGCCCGU
rnacentral:rRNA from 1 species